ensembl:snoRNA SNORA70 Small nucleolar RNA SNORA70
CUGCAGUAAAUUAAAUCGACUGAGUUUGUCUGCUGGUACGUGCCCGGUGUACAGUGGGCUGUGAACAGCAAGUUCCUUGCUGAUGUACGCAGCCUGUUACACGUAUGGGCUUCCCUAAGCGACCUUGGAGAUGCUC